rnacentral:lncRNA from 1 species
UAUAACUAGUCGGAUGACUAGAUUGAUAUGUUUACACAUUUGUGUGACUGCGUGUGUUGUGCAAUAAUUAUUACUCCUUAGAAAACUCACAUGUCUUGUUUGAUUUUUUAGGAAGUAAGUUUUUCUUUAAUCCGAUUUAGGCUAUGUGUCUUCGGCGCAGGGCAAUAGAGAAAUUUUCCUAGUUCCAUAAUUAUUUCACUAUGUAAUUAUUUGUAUAAAAAGCUAUGUAUACCAAAGGGUUAGUGACUCCGCAGUUGUAGGAUUUACAUAUAUUUAGUCGUGAAUUAACAUAGACAAAAUAAUUCUGUAAGCCAUAUUANNNN